AUGGGGCGUGACUUGCUUUUUUCAGAGGACUUCAACCAAAUAUACAUUAAGACUUUAAUGGAUCUUUUGUGUCAGUGCCAGAAUCUGAGAAAAGAUGUCUUCAGUGUGAAGGAAAGGGGUUUUCAGUCUUCCCAGCUCCUUGUGGGAUAUCUACAUCCUUGGCUGCCUCAUAAGAAGACAAUGUGGAAGGUAAUAAAUGCUUGCUGUUUUGUUUUGUUUUGUUUUUUUAUUUUUUUUAAAUUUUUAAAUUUUUAAAUUCAAUUAGCCAACUUAUAAUAAAUACAUCCUUAGUUUUGGACGUAGCA
rnacentral:lncRNA from 1 species